GGCGGCGUAGCCAAGUGGUAAGGCAACUCUCUGCAAAAGAGUUAUACGGCGGUUCAAUUCCGCCCGCCGCCU
rnacentral:tRNA from 1 species